UACUGUUAAUAAUUCUAAUAGUUUUAUUGAACAGUCGUUAAACAACAGUCUUUAGUGUAUGACAAGUGCUCUCAUUUUUAUAGAGUUUUUUAAUAUUUCCAUUUCGAAGAGCAAAGAAGACGAAUGAAGAAAUAAGAGCUAGCUGUUUCUUCGGCAGUGGUGCACAUUUGAACUGUAAAUGUGGUUCAGCUCGAUUUCUCCGAACAACGUCGAAGAAUACUUACAAUCAUGAUGAAGAUCGUAUGAAGAAAAUUUGGAGUUUUGUCGGCGGCGGUGCAGUACUCCGUAUACACUGUAGAUUGGUACAACUCCGUUUCCCGAGAAGAGUCGACGCUUAGAUCAUGCCAUAAUAUCGGAAAAACAAAAAAACUGAAAUAAUGACGCCAUAUCCUUGUAUAAUGUCAACCCGGAGGACGAUUGGGGCAGCAUCAAUAAGAAACUCAU